GGGCGCUUAGUCAGAUGCUGCAGACCCGAAACGAAGUGAUCUAUCCAUGAGCAAGUUGAAGCUAGUGUAAGAACUAGUGGAGGACUGAACCCAUAGGCGUUGAAAAGCCCCGGGAUGACUUGUGGAUAGGGGUGAAAGGCCAAUCAAACUUCGUGAUAGCUGGUUCUCUCCGAAAUAUAUUUAGGUAUAGCGUUGUGUCGUAAUAUAAGGGGGUAGAGCACUGAAUGGGCUAGGGCAUACACCAAUGUACCAAACCCUAUCAAACUCCGAAUACCUUAUAUGUAAUCACAGCAGUCAGGCGGCGAGUGAUAAAAUCCGUCGUCAAGAGGGAAACAACCCAGACUACCAGCUAAGGUCCCUAAAUCUUACUUAAGUGGAAAACGAUGUGAAGUUACUUAAACAACCAGGAGGUUGGCUUAGAAGCAGCCAUCCUUUAAAGAAAGCGUAAUAGCUCACUGGUCUAGUGAUUUUGCGCGGAAAAUAUAACGGGGCUAAAGUAAGUACCGAAGCUGUAGACUUAGUUUACUAAGUGGUAGGAGAGCGUUCUAUUUGCGUCGAAGGUAUACCGGUAAGGAGUGCUGGAGCGAAUAGAAGUGAGCAUGCAGGCAUGAGUAGCGAUAAUUAAUGUGAGAAUCAUUAACGCCGUAAACCCAAGGUUUCCUACGCGAUGCUCGUCAUCGUAGGGUUAGUCGGGUCCUAAGUCGAGUCCGAAAGGGGUAGACGAUGGCAAAUUGGUUAAUAUUCCAAUACCAACAUUAGUGUGCGAUGGAAGGACGCUUAGGGCUAAGGGGGCUAGCGGAUGGAAGUGCUAGUCUAAGGUCGUAGGAGGUUGUACAGGCAAAUCCGUAUAACAAUACUCCGAGAACUGAAAGGCUUUUUGAAGUCUUCGGAUGGAUAGAAGAACCCCUGAUGCCGUCGAGCCAAGAAAAGUUUCUAAGUUUAGCUAAUGUUGCCCGUACCGUAAACCGACACAGGUGGGUGGGAUGAGUAUUCUAAGGCGCGUGGAAGAACUCUCUUUAAGGAACUCUGCAAAAUAGCACCGUAUCUUCGGUAUAAGGUGUGGUUAGCUUUGUAUUAGGAUUUACUCCGAAAGCAAGGAAACUUACAACAAAGAGUCCCUCCCGACUGUUUACCAAAAACACAGCACUCUGCUAACUCGUAAGAGGAUGUAUAGGGUGUGACGCCUGCCCGGUGCUCGAAGGUUAAUUGAUGGGGUUAGCAUUAGCGAAGCUCUUGAUCGAAGCCCGAGUAAACGGCGGCCGUAACUAUAACGGUCCUAAGGUAGCGAAAUUCCUUGUCGGUUAAAUACCGACCUGCAUGAAUGGCGUAACGAGAUGGGAGCUGUCUCAAAGAGGGAUCCAGUGAAAUUGUAGUGGAGGUGAAAAUUCCUCCUACCCGCGGCAAGACGGAAAGACCCCGUGGACCUUUACUACAGCUUGACACUGCUACUUGGAUAAGAAUGUGCAGGAUAGGUGGGAGGCUUUGAGUAUAUGACGCCAGUUGUAUAUGAGCCAUUGUUGAGAUACCACUCUUUCUUAUUUGGGUAGCUAACCAGCUUGAGUUAUCCUCAAGUGGGACAAUGUCUGGUGGGUAGUUUGACUGGGGCGGUCGCCUCCCAAAUAAUAACGGAGGCUUACAAAGGUUGGCUCAGAACGGUUGGAAAUCGUUCGUAGAGUAUAAAGGUAUAAGCCAGCUUAACUGCAAGACAUACAAGUCAAGCAGAGACGAAAGUCGGUCUUAGUGAUCCGGUGGUUCUGUGUGGAAGGGCCAUCGCUCAAAGGAUAAAAGGUACCCCGGGGAUAACAGGCUGAUCUCCCCCAAGAGCUCACAUCGACGGGGAGGUUUGGCACCUCGAUGUCGGCUCAUCGCAUCCUGGGGCUGGAGCAGGUCCCAAGGGUAUGGCUGUUCGCCAUUUAAAGCGGUACGCGAGCUGGGUUCAGAACGUCGUGAGACAGUUCGGUCCCUAUCUGCCGUGGGCGUAAGAAGAUUGAAGAGAUUUGACCCUAGUACGAGAGGACCGGGUUGAACAAACCACUGGUGUAGCUGUUGUUCUGCCAAGAGCAUCGCAGCGUAGCUAAGUUUGGAAAGGAUAAACGCUGAAAGCAUCUAAGCGUGAAGCCAACUCUAAGAUGAAUCUUCUCUAAGCUCUCUAGAAGACUACUAGUUUGAUAGGCUGGGUGUGUAAUGGAUGAAAGUCCUUUAGCUGACCAGUACUAAUAGAGCGUUUGGCUUAUCUUUAAUAAAGCAU
rnacentral:rRNA from 1 species